rnacentral:rRNA from 1 species
UACGUAGGGGGCAAGCGUUGUCCGGAAUCAUUGGGCGUAAAGAGCGUGUAGGCGGUUCGGUAAGUCGGCUGUGAAAGUCCAGGGCUCAACCCUGGGAUGCCGGUCGAUACUGUCGGACUAGAGUACGGAAGAGGCGAGUGGAAUUCCUGGUGUAGCGGUGAAAUGCGCAGAUAUCAGGAGGAACACCAAUUGCGAAGGCAGCUCGCUGGGACGUUACUGACGCUGAGACGCGAAAGCGUGGGGAGCAAACAGG